GUUAAGUUAAACUCUGUAACGUCAGUCAGGAAAUAAUAAUCUGUUCAAGAUGAACUUUUUUGUCAAAUAUUUGGCAAUGAUCCUCGUGAUUUGUGCUUUUGUUUAUGUCGUUCUUAGCAACCCUUGUAACGGCAACUGUGGCGGAAAAACCUUGGAAGGUUGUGGCAAUUGUGGCGAAGAGUCAGUCGCUGAUCCAUUUAAAGAUACUAUUAAAUUCUGAAUAAAGUUCUUCUCCUCGUAAA